GUAGGUGAACCUGCGGAAGGAUCAUUAUCAAUAUCAGCGGGCUUCGGCCCCUGCUAUACCCUUGUCUUUUGCGUACCACUUGUUUCCUCGGCGGGCUUGCCUGCCGAUAGGACAAACACAAACCCUUUGUAGUUGCAAUCAGCGUCAGAAAAAAACAAUAAUUAAAACUUUCAACAACGGAUCUCUUGGUUCUGGCAUCGAUGAAGAACGCAGCAUCUGACUGACUGAUCAACUACCGAUCUCGUAUGCC
rnacentral:misc_RNA from 1 species